GGGCAGCACAGGUAGCAAUACUGGGUGGCGACCGGCAAACGGGUGCGGAACACGUACGCAACCUUCCUUUAAGCGGGGAAUAGCCCAGAGAAAUUUGGAUUAAUACCCCAUAAGAAUGUGGAAAGGCAUCUUUCAGCAUUUAAAGAUUUAUCACUUAAAGAUGGGCGUGCGUCUGAUUAGGUAGUUGGUGAGGUAACGGCUCACCAAGCCGACGAUCAGUAACUGGCGUGAGAGCGCGACCAGUCACACGGGCACUGAGACACGGGCCCGACUCCUACGGGAGGCAGCAGUAAGGAAUAUUGGUCAAUGGACGGAAGUCUGAACCAGCCAUGCCGCGUGGAGGAUGAAGGCCCUCUGGGUUGUAAACUUCUUUUAUCUGGGACGAAACACUCUUUUUCUAAGGAGCUUGACGGUACCAGGUGAAUAAGCACCGGCUAACUCCGUGCCAGCAGCCGCGGUAAUACGGAGGGUGCAAGCGUUAUCCGGAUUCACUGGGUUUAAAGGGUGCGUAGGCGGACACUUAAGUCCGUGGUGAAAUCUCUGGGCUUAACCCAGAAACUGCCAUGGAUACUAUUUGUCUUGAAUGUUGUGGAGGUUAGCGGAAUAUGUCAUGUAGCGGUGAAAUGCAUAGAUAUGACAUAGAACACCAAUUGCGAAGGCAGCUGGCUACA
rnacentral:rRNA from 1 species